CCUGGGCAUAGUCGCUUGUUCUCCGCCCGCGGUGGACCAGCUGCGUAACGGUUCACACACUGAUGGCGCCUGGAGGUUUGGCGAAAUACUGACAGGAUGCGACGUCAACGGGAGCGCAGGGCCAAGAUACCCUUUAUAUCAAACCGUCUAUCCUGGAGCAGAAAAAUCCUGUCUUCAUUGCUAUAGCUACAGAUUCAGAAAUGAGCAUGUAACAAAUUCAGGCCAAAGAGAGGCAAUGGAAAUCAGAGAAACACUGUUCCUGAAAGCUUCUGUCACUCAAGAAUCCAUGAAACAUUCAUGAACUUCACAUCAGAAGCCAAGCCCAGAAAAUAUGGGUUUAAGGUUUGCCUAUAUGUCCAAUACAAGAGAAAAAAGAACAUUCCACUUCUUUAGAAGGUUCUACUUUGAUCUCCUGUGUUAUACUGGAGGACUUUCUCUUUGGAAUUGCUGUGCAAAUAAGGUCACUGGGUAAUAGGAUGUAAAGAGGAGUUCUCAAAACAACCUCACAGACCCAGAAUAAUCAAAACAAUUGAAGACUUAACUUCAAUUUCAAAACUUACCACAGAGCAAGAGUAAUCAAGACAGUAUGGUACUUCCCUAAGGACAAACAUAUAUGAAUGAAAGAGAAACCAGAUUUUGGAAAUUUUAAAGAGUGUCAAGACCAUUCAGCAAGGAAUGAAUAGUCUUUUCAACAAAUUGUGAGACAAUAGAUAUUCACAUGCAAAAAAUGUACCUGGACUCCUACCUCACGCCAUAUAAAAAUAUUAACUCAAAAUGGAUUAUAGGGAGGAAGUGGAGGAAGAUGACCAGAAAAAACCUUCCAGUGAUUAUCCCUAACUUGCCCUGCAGGAAGACCAAAUUGAACAACUAUCCACAAAGGAAAGCACCAUCAUAUGAGGCAAAAAUCAGAUAUGUCCUGAGAGUUUCUGAAGUUAUUUAACUGGUUCAAUGAGAAUUUAAUCAAGGUCUGCUUUAUAUCAAAAUUUAUGAUUUUUAUUCAAUGCCAUACAUAGAAUUUGUUCACAGUUAUCAUCAAACACACUCAUGUAAGUAAAUUCUAUUAGAAAAACAUGUUCUUCGGUGGUCAGAAUAUUCUGGGACUUUAGGUUAAAAUGUAUAAAUGUCAAAGUUGCAACUCAGGUUGCUAUUUUUUAUUUUUAACAGGCAUAUGCAUAGUCCUACUUCUUUUCAUUGAGUCAUUUUUGUUGGUUUAACUUUUAAAUAGUAUAUACAUUUUUCCUCUGGAACAGUUCUUGGCUAGUUUGACAGCCUUGGCAGUGUUUUCUGGGUGAGAAGUAGUUUAUAGCACUGCCUUUUAAUAGUGAGAACCAAAUGAACAGCAUAUCUAGGCAGUGAAUAAUCUUAGCACAUAGCACUCAAAUGACACGCAGUCUGAGGAAAAUGUGUAGGAGAAACUAAGUCUUACAGGGCUCCACAGCUCAGAGAUAAAAACAUAGAACAUUUGAGAUUGUACAAAACUUUCUAGUGUAUGGUGAUUAUUGAGUGUUUGUGAAUGGUUAUGUAGCAGAUGUGUAAAUAAAUGUAUCUUGUUGAGUAGAAGAUGUCACAGAAGAGAAUUCAUGAAAAUGAAAGCCACAGGCAUUGCAAAAAAUGAAAUGAUUUAACUCUUAUAUUUGUCUAUGGAUAGUAUUAUCAUAAUUAUACACAAUUAGAUCUGAUGUUCUGAAAUACUCUUCAAGAACAAUUUAAAACAUCACACUAGAUGUCCAGAGGUUAUCAACUAGAAGCCUGUUGACAGGUUAUUAGAAACACAUUGUUUGACAAUUUCUAUUUGAUUGGCUAUAGUCAGGAUACAUAUUCUCCCACCUGCUGUAGUUCUCACCAAUUGCUAU
ensembl:lncRNA POT1-AS1 POT1 antisense RNA 1